rnacentral:tRNA from 15 species
GGGCCUGUAGCUCAGUUGGUUAGAGCAGAGGACUCAUAAUCCUUUGGUCCACGGUUCAAGUCCGUGCAGGCCCACCA